rnacentral:rRNA from 1 species
UACAGAGGUCUCAAGCGUUUUUUUUUUUUUUUUGUCGGAUUUCAUUGGGCGUAAAAGGGUGCGUAGGCGGCGCGGUAAGUCGGGUGUGAAAUCUCGGAGCUUUUUUAACUCCGAAACUGCAUUCGAUACUGCCGUGCUUUUGAGGACUGGAGAGGAGACUGGAAUUUACGGUGUAGCGGUGAAAUGCGUAGAUAUCGUAAGGAAGACCAGUGGCGAAGGCGGGUCUCUGGACAUUCCUACGUGAGGCACGAAGGUCAGGGAGCAAACGGG